rnacentral:rRNA from 1 species
UGCCAGACUCCUACGGGAGGCAGCAGUGGGGAAUAUUGCACAAUGGGGGAAACCCUGAUGCAGCGACGCCGCGUGAGUGAGGAAGUCUUUCGGUAUGUAAAGCUUUAUCAGCAGGGAAGAAAAUGACGGUACCUGACUAAGAAGCCCCGGCUAACUACGUGCCAGCAGCCGCGGUAAUACGUAGGGGGCAAGCGUUAUCCGGAUUUACUGGGUGUAAAGGGAGCGUAGACGGCGAUGCAAGCCAGAUGUGAAAGCCCGGGGCUCAACCCCGGGACUGCAUUUGGAACUGUGUGGCUGGAGUGGCGGAGAGGCAGGCGGAAUUCCUAGUGGAGCGGUGAAAUGCGUAGAUAUUAGGAGGAACACCAGUGGCGAAGGCGGCCUGCUGGACGAUGACUGACGUUGAGGCUCGAAAGCGUGGGGAGCAAACAGGAUUAGAUACCCUCGUAA